AGUGAACGCUGGCGGUAGGCCUAACACAUGCAAGUCGAACGGCAGCACAGUAAGAGCUUGCUCUUACGGGUGGCGAGUGGCGGACGGGUGAGGAAUACAUCGGAAUCUACUUUUUCGUGGGGGAUAACGUAGGGAAACUUACGCUAAUACCGCAUACGACCUACGGGUGAAAGCAGGGGAUCUUCGGAACUUGCGCGAUUGAAUGAGCCGAUGUCGGAUUAGCUAGUUGGCGGGGUAAAGGCCCACCAAGGCGACGAUCCGUAGCUGGUCUGAGAGGAUGAUCAGCCACACUGGAACUGAGACACGGUCCAGACUCCUACGGGAGGAAGCAGUGGGGAAUAUUGGACAAUGGGCGCAAGCCUGCUCCAGCCAUACCGCGUGGGUGAAGAAGGCCUUCGGGUUGUAAAGCCCUUUUGUUGGGAAAGAAAAGCAGCAGGUUAAUACCCCGCUGUUCUGACGGUACCCAAAGAAUAAGCACCGGCUAACUUCGUG
rnacentral:rRNA from 1 species